rnacentral:rRNA from 1 species
CAAUAGCGUAUAUUUAAGUUGUUGCAGUUAAAAAGCUCGUAGUCGGAUUUUGGCUGAGAACGAUCGGUCCGCCGUUAGGUGUGCACUGAUUGGUCUCAGCUUCCUGGUGAGGAGGUGUGCUUCACGGCCACUUAGUCACCGUGGUUACUUUGAAAAAAUUAGAGUGUUCAAAGCGGGCUUACGCUUGAAUAUAUUAGUAUGGAAUAACACCAUAGGACUCCUGUCCUAUUUCGUUGGUCUCGGGACGGGAGUAAUGAUUAAGAGGAACAGUUGGGGGCAUUCGUAGUUCAUUGUCAGAGGUGAAAUUCUUGGAUUUAUGAAAGACGAACUUCUGCGAAAGCAUUUGCCAAGGAUGUUUUCAUUGA